rnacentral:rRNA from 1 species
CCUACGGGAGGCAGCAGUAAGGAAUAUUGGACAAUGCUCGCAAGAGUGAUCCAGCCAUGCCGCGUGCAGGAAGAAUGCCCUAUGGGUAGUAAACUGCUUUUGAACUAGAGAAAACCCCAGUACGUGUACUGGGCUGAUAGUAUAGUUAGAAUAAGCAUCGGCUAACUUCGUGCCAGCAGCCGCGGUAAGACGAAGGAUGCAAGCGUUAUCCGGAUUCAUUGGGUUUAAAGGGAGCGUAGGUGGACUUAUAAGUCAGUGGUGAAAUCUCCGAGCUUAACUCGGAAAUUGCCAUUGAUACUGUAGGUCUUGAGUACAGUUGCUGUGGGCGGAAUAUGACAUGUAGUGGUGAAAUACAUAGAGAUGUCAUAGAACACCGAUUGCGAAGGCAGCUCACAAAGCUGUAACUGACACUGAGGCUCGAAAGUGCGGGGAGUCAAACAGGAUUAGAUACCCUGGUAGUCCGCACCGUAAACGAUGAUUACUCGCUGCUAGGGGGCAACCUUUAGUGGCUUAGCGAAAGCGAUAAGUAAUCCACCUGGGGAGUACGCCGGCAACGGUUGAAACGUCAAANAGAGUUAGAGNGNGAGAGNGCGAGGCGACGACGAGGGAGGAGG